UAAAAAAACUUCUACCUUACAAAUAUUGCACACACUAGUUAGAACAUAAAAAUCAUUAGAAUAUAGUCUUGUAAACAUUAUUAAAUAUAAAUAGAAUGGAUCAUCUUUAUGCAAACUAUAGUAUUUCAGUUGAAUCUGCUUUAUUUUGUCCAAUACUAUAGAGAGGUAGUAGUGGUAACUGUCACCGAAGACAAUUUAUGUUAAUGACUGUUCGUAACCGAGGAGAGCCGAGGUCGCUCGACAGAACAGUCUGCAGGUCGCCGUAGCAGCGGUCGGACACGAAGCUCUUUGCUCGACUUUCGAAUCCUCCCCACUCACCAACCCUGAAUUCACCACCUUGCGCGUCCUGACUAUCCCAUCCCUACGAUGGCGACGCCCAGCGUCGAUUCGUGCGCAUUUUCAUCCCCAGCUUGGAGAUUCGUUCUCCUAUGGACGCCUGUGCGCUUAUCGAAUGAAAAUUGUUUUGUGAUAAAUCAGUGUAUCGAAACGUAAAAUUAGUGCCUUUUUAAGGAUACUUCACGAGUCUUUUACGAGCAAUUAUUGGAUCGCAUAAAAUGGUGCUGAAGGGGGCAGGAGGAAUGAAGGAGAUGAAGGGGAAGAAACACGAGGGGAAGAAGAAUGGUGCUGUGAUGCGGCCAGGGGAGCGAGGGGGAAGGGAAAGAUGCCGGCUGGUAAGCAGAUGGUUGCCCCGUUUAUUGGUUUAUUCGUUGGUUCAGCCAUGACGUUCCGUCCGGCCAUGAAACGAGCCGGAGACUCUCCUUGUGUUAGAGAGUAUCAAGCAACGAGGCUACAACUGCUCUUCCUAUUAAAACGCAUCCGCGAGCUACUUACUCGCCUAGUAUAUUUUUCAAUUGCAUCUGAUAUCUGCCAUGGUGAAUUUAUAUAUUAUACAUCUGUAAAAACCAAAUGGUUCUAUAAAUUCUGUAUCUGGUUAAAAAGUUUUAUCGGCAUCGAUACAAUAAAUUUUUCUACACCGAAAAAUAUGCACGAAAGCAGAGGAAUAGCAUAGCAGCAGUUUUGAUGGCGGGGUGCAAAUGUACGCGUUAUAUAGAUGAUAUUCAGUAAUGGCGUCCUGGGGGCGGACGAAAUGCUCGGGUCGAUAGAAGGUUGCUUGCCGACGAAACUCAAAUACACUCUCGUCUUAUUGCCGAUGAUCCCCACUUACAAUGGACUUUUCUAUGGCUUAUCCCCAGGGAUGUCAUCGACAUGACUCAAAAUAUAAUUCAUUAUACCUGUGAAAUCGUAUGCGACAUGACCAAGUAACCUGGAAAUGAAAGGUACGUCGACACGCGUACAGGAAUAAAAGGAGCUGUACCGCUAAGAAGACGAAGAAGAAGAAGAAGGAGAAGAAGAAGAAAACCAAGGAGAACGCGACCUUGCUACAUUCAGCUGUGUCAUCCUUGAGCCGUUAACGCUCAGGUGGUUUCGAUCCCAGGAACGAGCAUCAAUCAUCAUUGGUAGUGCAGGUGUAAUGUGAUCAUUGUCACUGAGAUAACCCAGUACGAUAUUCACUUACGAAGCGUGUCAAAUGACAUAAUAGAGUUUAUCUAUAACAGCGCGUAUAAAUAUUAAAAGAAACGGCUACAAUAUUUGAUCCUUGACAACAUACAAUCUAUUAAACCUUUGAAUAAAAAAUAUGACGUAACAAUUGUUGAAAAUGUAAAAUUCUCAUAUGUAUAAUACUAUCAAUAUUUUACAUAUUUAAUAUCAACAUAUAAGAUAUUGCAGAUAUUUAUCUCAAAAUUGUCUUUUAUAAAAAAACAUAUUUUAAUUUAAACAGUAAUAAUAAACGUUAUGUAGCCUUUACAUAAUUUCAUAAUAUAAUAGAAUAUUGUGUUAAUAAUAAUAAUACGUAAGAUAGUAUCAAUGCUAGCAAAAUAAAGUAGUAAAAUAAAUCGGUAUUAAAAUUAAAUGUUACAUAAAAACAAUAUAUUUUUUUUCUUAUGUUCAAUUUCUUCACACCUCCCGAUAGAUAUAUUUCAGAUAAAAAUGUUCGUCAAUUAACUAAAAAUUCGUUUUCUUUACUAAUUAACUUAUUUUUGAUUAUGUAACUAAUGGGUAGCUAUUCUUUAUACUAACUAUCGACACAAACUGUAUUAGCAUUUUACUAGAAAGAAUAUUUAUUCUCUGGGAGAUAUUUCAUGGAUAAAAUUAUCUAGAGAUGAAGAAAUUAGGCAUUAACCGGUUGAUGUCCAAUUUCUUCACCUAUAACUUAAUUCAUGAGAUAUUUCCUGGAGAAUAUGAUAAUUUCUAUAUUAAAAUUCUAGUACACUUUGUGUUAAUAGUAUGAAGAAUUAGUUAUUCUUAUAUAGAUACGUAAACAAAAAUUUUAAUAAAGUAAACGAAUUUUCAGUUAUUUGACGGAUAUUUUUAUCUGGAAGAUAGCUAUCGGUGUGAGAAAUGUGUGAAGAAAUCGGGCAGAAUUCCAGAAACUAAAUUAUGUAAGAGAGAACCGAAUACGUAAUUAAUGAGAGAUUGACUUUUACUAACAAUACUGUACUGAAAAUAGAUUUCACGUAUGUAUCGUUUAAAUACUUUCUAAAAAUUAAUUUUUUUUUAAAUUAGAAAAUUUAGAAAACAUGGUUGUGUUUUAUAUUAACGGUAAUUGUGACUAAUUUUGCUAAUUUGAUAUUUUUUUGGAAGUUUACGCAAUUUGCGCUAAAAGCAGACCCUGCCUCGCUUUCUUGAAGAGUGACUCAGCAUAUAUACCUAAGCUAUUUCCAUAUGACUGUGCACUUCAUAAGCCUCUGCGAGUGUUAAUUUGAAAUUACCCAUGUUCUAUAACUUCAACGAUAGGAACGUAAACACCGCUAAUGCAAUACAAAUUGUUGAAAAAAAAAACGUACGCUUAUAUUUAUAAACGAUUACGUUAUAACGUUGAUAGAAUACAUAAUACCUUCCUAACAGAGCUAAAGCCUCUUUAAAUAAUAUUUACAUUGACAUAUUAUAGAAGUUGGAAUAGAAACGGAUACGGAAGACAUGAAAAACUAUACAAAAAUGUAUUACAGUAUAAAAAAUUUUUAAUCAGUUGUAUAACAACGUAAGAACGAUAUUGUUUACAAUUUGCAAAUUAUAAUAUUAAGAUUUCUGCCCGUUAACUGAAUGUUUCAAAUUUAAUUCUAUGUUUUACAAUUAAAGUGUAAAAACUGAUAUUAAUAGGAAAAUAUUUUCAGGUUCCUAUAAAAUGGUUGCGAAGUCUACUGAAGAUCACAUACUGGGCGGACAAAGAAGUUAAGACCGGCACGUAUAUGUUAAGUAUUUUUAAUAUAUAAGGAAAUAAACGAUAAACGAUGAAUGUGCCGUACAAGAAAGCCCAGUUAAUGCUCUACAUCUACCCUGUAGAUCCGAAUUUGUUUGAUAAGAGGCGACAAAUUCGGUUCUAGAGAGGUUUGUGUGGUGCAUACAAAGCAACGGUGAUCUUUAAAUGAGAGAGGAUAUCAAUCCAAAUUAAACGCACAAAAAUUUGUUAACGUAUUGAAAUACUGGAUAAACGUUUUUAAAAUUGAUAGAUUUUAUUAUGGUAAAUACCAACAUCAGUGUUAAUAAGUUCCUAAAAAUUUUAUUUACGCAAUAAAUGUAAUGUAAAUGUAAGUGUAUAUGAACUCCAACUAGUGAUUAUAACGGAAUUCAUAUAAUGUAAAUCAAUUAAAAAUUACCAGAACGUUAUAAUUAUAUAUUCAUAUGUUUAGAUAUGUGUUACGUGACUAUAUAAUUAGGUAGUUACAAUUAGGUCGCUGGAAAUACUUUUUAAAGUCACUCAUGUGCGUAUCGCAAACGAAUUAUUAAUGGUAACGGAAAAAUGACAAAUGUAAGAAAGAAUUAAUGAGCGUCAUUACGCCCAUGGACUUGGUUGCAUGCAUGUUGGCGUACUGUCGAUGAUGAACUGCUACGUCUAGCGUGACCUGUUGCGCAUAAGUUCACUCACACAUCGUAUUAAAUUGUACGUUUUUCUAGUCCUUUAUACAGGUAGAUUCAAAUUCUGUUUAAUUUAUAUGAGAUUGUAGUAAAAUAUUUGUACGAUAUAUAUAACUUAGAUUAGCAAUAAGUAAUUUCAUAAAGAAGUGAUUUUAAAGAGCAUGUUAUUCAAUAAGAUUUACUUAAAGUCAA